UAGUCAAUGCUCGCAAGAGUGAACUAGCUAACUGAAAUCAUAGAAUUUCUUCAAAUUCGUGAUGUCGUAAGGGAAAAUAAUGAUAAUACCUUACUAUGAGUGUCGUCCAAAUCUGGUGCCAGAAGACUCGGUAAGACCAGAGACGCAAACGUUAAUCAUCAUAAUCAGGCGUAAAGGGUUUGUAGGCAGCUUAAAAAAAAUUUAAGCUAGAAUCUAACAGAGGUUAUAGUGUAUAACGCCUAGAGGAGGGCUAAUAUCCAUAGAUCCUAGGCAGAAUACUAAAGGCGAAGGCCACUCUCCACUAAAGAUUGACGCUGAGAAACGAAGGUUAGGAUAGGAAAAAGGAUUAGAUACCCUGUUACCCCUUUCUGUAAACGAUGAAUGGUAGUUUUUAGUACAUAAUUAGAGACGAAGUUAACACAAUAACCAUUCCGCCUUGUGAGUACUACUGCAAAGUAGAAAACAAAAAAAUUAGUCGGUCUCGAAGCAAACGGAGUGAAGCAUGUUAUUUAAU
rnacentral:rRNA from 1 species